AGAACGCCAGAAAAGAUAUCUAUACACCAGUCCAGUCACAGUCAGUCACAGCUGCUAGUGUCUCGCCUCCCUUCCAGCGCUGAGCAGCUCAUAGCCUUCGUUCCGUGUUCCUCCCCUCCCCCAGGAAUGGGUCGCCGGCAUCAUGGUGGUGGUCUGUGGUGUGUGGGAGCGGUGGUGAUAGUGUUCAUGCAAGUCCUGCCCGCCACGUCUGUUCCUGGUCCUGCCGGACAGCAUGAGCCCUUCAUCACGCAUUCGCCAUGGUCUACGGGACAGGUCACCGUCACCGUCACCGCAGAUGGACAGGGUAGGAUCAUCAACCCUUCACCUUCACGUCCGGGGCAGAAAACCGCCACCAUAUACAGCACUGCAAUCUUUGACGGCGAAAAGGCCACACGAGCAAGCUCCGGAGUGCUCAGCAACAAAGGAGGAACCGGGGCUGAGGUUGUGCGAUUUGGAUCCCCUUUUCUAUUCAGUAGCUUCGGUGGCAAUGACGGCUACGGAGGCUACAGCGGCUACUUCGGCUUCGGUAGCAACGGUAACAACGGCCGCUUCGGUAACAAUGGCGGCUUCGGUAACAACGGCCGCUUCGGUAACAACGGCGGCUUCGGCAACAACGGCGGCUUCGGUAACUUCGGUGGCUUUGACUACUUUGGCUGACGGUGGGGAUCUUGAUGGCUACGACGGGUACGGUAACUAAGAUAACAACGGCGGAUAUAGAUGACUUCGGUUACUUCGACUGUCGAUGGGCAUGUUGUUGACUAAGAUCAGUCCGUACAUGGCAAAGAGUGUUUUAGCUUUUCUGAUUUCUGUUUUCAAUAUUUCUGUGUGUCUUGUAAUAUGUUGAUGUGUUUAAAGAACGUAACACACCUACUCCUGCCUCUAUGUCUUAGCGUUCCAGAGGCAUUUGAAGGCCAGAACAGAAUCACAGUAGAAGGACAGAUCAGGCCGGAGAGACGUCUGAUGCUGCCCUCCUGAAAGCGUUCAUCUUGGAAGGAGGAAACACAGCCAGUGUUGCCGUUUAUGGUACGAACGUACCAGAUUUGGUACUCUUCGGUGUACAAAGUACGACUUCCACUAGAUCUGGUACUAAAUAGAGAAAUGGUAUUUUUGUUAUAUACAUUGUGGAAAUAAAAUUAAUAGUAAAU